UUUUCGGAGGGUAGAUCGGUCUUGGAAAUUUUCUCUUCGGUUCCGUUCUUACGACAGUUUCCUCGGCCAUCCCACGCAGAUAAUCCGGUCGCAUAGCCGCCGCCGCCGCCGUUCCCGCCGAUCCCGUGGCGGCCUCAAUCCAGGGAAGCAACCACCGGCCCACCUCCCUGGUCUCGCUCCUACCACGAGGGUGCCAGGCUGCCAGCCCGGCGGCAGGAAACGGAAACCCUCGGCUGCGGCGCGCCGAUCCCGCCCGAAGCCUCCCUGCCCAGCGCCUCCUCCGUUGAGCAGUCGGUGACGCCCAGCAACGCCGGCCACCAGUCCGUGGGUAGGCAGCAGCAUACAUGGAUGUAGCAGUAUGGGGGGAAUUACUAAUCCGAUCCCAUAUUACCUCCUGCACGGUUCAGCUCCUCCCCUUCCCUUCCCCUUUGUGUGAAUCUUCUUCCUUUUUUCUUGUUGUUUAGUCAUAUAUACAUAUGCCUAUAUAUAGUAGUUCAUUGUUUCUCUCUCUGAUCUGUGUGGAAAUUUACUCACCCUCUGUAUCAGUACUAGUUUUUCCUAAUAUUUCUACCACACUGUUCAUAUGGUAUGUAGUUUAGUAAUUUGAUAUCCCAUAUUUGUCGUUCUAUUGUGAAGUCUGUGUUUCCUAUUUCUUCCUACAAAAUAUUUUUCCUCAACUAAUCUUUCAGAUUUCAGUACAAGGCGACACUUCAGAAUAUUGACAUAGUUACUGAAGUUUGGUAGUGCUGUUUUCAUGUUUUUUUAUCAAGUUGACGUGCUAUUUUUUGCAAGCUUUGAUACAAGAUGACAGUUUAUCAAUUGGAAGAACUGAAGGCCCUUUGGUUUGCUUUUUUUCCUGGAACUGGUCUUUGGGGAAUAACAUCUGAACCAUGGAAAGAGAUGGGUUGGCAAGGAACAGACCCAUCUACAGAUUUUAGGUGGAGGCUUCAUCUCCUUGGAAAAUUUGUUAUUCUUCGCCAUGAUCUAUCUGAAGUAAAUUACAGGCAGGAACCAACAACUGCUUCUUCCAUCAAUUCUUCAAUCUGCAUUCCGUAUUUUUGCUGAUAACUAUCCAUCAGUUCCUAGUUUGCAUAGAGGCUGAACUUCUUGUUUCAAAUAUUUGGAGAACGCUUUUGAUCCGGUGGCAACUUGUGGGGUGUAAAUAAUGUACGUUAUAAUAUCACUGAAGGGAGUUUCACAGUUCAUCUUGUAUGUCA